GAUGAAGAACGUAGCGAAAUGCGAUACUUGGUGUGAAUUGCAGAAUCCCGUGAACCAUCGAGUCUUUGAACGCAAGUUGCGCCCGAAGCCAUUAGGCCGAGGGCACGCCUGCCUGGGCGUCACACGUCGUUGCCCCCCCCAUCUACUCCUUCGGGAUUGCGGGGGGGCGGAUGAUGGCCUCACGUGCGCCUAGCCGCGCGGUUGGCAUAAAUACCAAGUCCUCGGCGACGCACGCCACGACAAUCGGUGGUUGCGAAACCUCGGUUGCCCGUCGUGUGCGUUCGUCGCGCAUCGAGGGCUCGAAAAAAUGCUCGGCUUCGGCUCGGCUUUCAACGCGACCCCAGGUCAGGCGGGGUUACCCGCUGAAUUUAAGCAUAUCAAUAAGCGGAGGA
rnacentral:misc_RNA from 1 species